rnacentral:sRNA from 1 species
GCAAGCGCAGCAGUGUGAGUGUGGGAGUUCAAUCCCCAGAGCCCAGAUGAAAAAGCCAGAUGUGGCAGUACACAAUCGUAAUGCCCGCGCUGGGAAGACAGAGAUGGUUAGACCCUGGCAGUUCCAUAGCCAGCUGGCCAAGCUGAAAUGGCCAAGAAUAUGGGGCAGCAGUUCCAGGAUACUUGAUGGAGUGUUUGAUUCCAUAUGUUCCUGAGGCCUCUCUUCCUCCUGUUCCAAUGACAUUGGAGUGCAAGGACACAGGAACCCCAGGACACAACCAUCUCUUUCUACUUCCUCAUCCUGAGGAGAUGUGAGGAUGAGCUCAGAUAUUCAGAGCUUCUGAGAAGCCCACAGGCCAUGAGCCUAAGUUUGCAUCACUGGCAGGGGUCCUCCUCCGUUGGCCCUAAGCUCAGUGUGGCUGAUGGAGUGUUCCUUGGAGCCUGCCCAUCCAAACACAGAGGUGUCCAAAGCCGGAGGCGAUGACACCGCAGCCUUCCAUGGAAGGCCUGGAGUCGUUACAUAAGAAGGCAGGAAGGGAAGGUGCUUAAAAGAUGGAAAGACAGGAGCUCACAGGUGUGCUCUGGCCUUGCUUUGCUUUGUGAAUGUGUGAGGAGGCUUCACUGACUCUACCGUUGCAAGCCAGCCAAGGUAGAAAAAAGCGAAUGCAGAAAAAGCUGUGCCCCUUUGAACUACAUAGGCGUCACCUGAGAAUACCCAGCAAGGCCAUCCAUAGCCAAGUUCAAGUUCCAAGUAACUGGAAAGUUCCCACGCUGAAAGGACCCAGGCUCAAAAUAAAAAGAAUAAAUACAUUUAUCUUCAUGGCAUCCCGUAAAUGUCCCUUAAGUAAGGUCCGUAAAGGAAGUCUCUAGGGUGUUUUAUAAUUACUAUGUAGUAUGAACAGUUUUCUUAACACAUUAGUAAACACGUCUUUCAACCCAGCACAGCCUUCUCUUAUGCAGUAGUCUCCCACCCCAGGCAUCCUGGCCUCUCUACUGUCUCAGGCUCCAAACCCCUACCCUACCCUGCCCUGCACUGCAUCCUAACACAGAGGAGUCUCAUUUCACUGGUGAGUUAAUAGAACCAAAGGUUUAACUGCGUUAGCAGAUUUAUGCGUCAAGCUUUAGAACUUAACUUUGAGUCAGUUGAGACACUUUUUCCAAACCUACAGUAAUUAACAAUGCUUAGAAUUCCUCGUCCUCAUGGCAAAUCCAUGAAGGACAGGAACAGCACAGGACAAGGAAGUCUUUAGGGGCUCUCACAGCGGGGCUAAGAAGCACUGCUAGCAUGAGGCCAUGGCCGCAAGCUUGGGCUCCUGGACGGAAGGACCUAUCAUGGCAGCAUUCACACACAUCUCUCAUCCGGGUCCUCGUCUUUCAGAUACCGACUCAUAUGUAUAUUAAAUACUGUGGAAGUAGUGACGCUCAUUCAACAGUUUCAGAUUGUUUUGAUUUUCCGUGGUGAGCACAAUGUUCCCCUCCUCCAAAGUGGGUGUCUUUUCUGGAACAUGCCAAUGUGUAAUUUUACAAAAAUAAUAAGAAA